CGGGGUGUGGCGCAGCUUGGUAGCGCGCGUCGUUCGGGACGACGAGGUCGCAGGUUCAAAUCCUGUUACCCCGAC
rnacentral:tRNA from 1 species